rnacentral:rRNA from 1 species
UACAUGGGGUGCAAACGUUGCUCGGAAUCAUUGGGCGUAAAGCGCGCGUAGGCGGUUGCUUAAGUCGGAUGUGAAAGCCCUCGGCUUAACUGAGGAAGUGCAUCCGAAACUGAGCAGCUAGAGUACGAAAGAGGGUCGCGGAAGUUCCCGGUGUAGAGGUGAAAUUCGUAGAUAUCGGGAGGAACACCGGUGGCGAAGGCGCUCAUCUGGCCCAAUACUGACGCUGAAGCGCGAAAGCUAGGGGAGCAAACGGG